rnacentral:rRNA from 1 species
CAAUAGCGUAUAUUAAAGUUGUUGCGGUUAAAAGCUCGUAGUUGGAUUUCUGCUGAGGACGACCGGUCCGCCUCUGGUGAGUAUCUGGUUCGGCCUGGGCAUCUUCUUGGAGAACGUAGCCGCACUUGACUGUGUGGUGCGGUAUCCAGGACUUUUACUUUUGAGGAAAUUAGAGUGUUUCAAGCAGGCACACGCCUUGAAUACAUUAGCAUGGAAUAAUAAGAUAGGACCUCGGUUCUAUUUUGUUGGUUUCUAGAGCUGAGGUAAUGAUUAAUAGGGAUAGUUGGGGCGAUUCGUAUUUAACUGUCAGAGGUGAAAUUCUUGGAUUCGGUCAAGACUAACUUAUGCGAAAAGCAUUCACCAAAGGAUGUCUUCUUUAAUCAAGAACGAA